rnacentral:rRNA from 1 species
GACGGGGGGGGCAAGUGUUCUUCGGAAUUACUGGGCGUAAAGGGCCCGUAGGCGGUGAAUCGGGUUGAAAGUGAAAGUCGCCAAAAAGUGGCGGAAUGCUCUCGAAACCAAUUCACUUGAGUGAGACAGAGGAGAGUGGAAUUUCGUGUGUAGGGGUGAAAUCCGUAGAUCUACGAAGGAACGCCAAAAGCGAAGGCAGCUCUCUGGGUCCCUACCGACGCUGGGGUGCGAAAGCAUGGGGAGCGAACAGG